GGGGGCGAAUCAGUUUCGACGGGGGUAGCUGGGGCGCCAGUUGCAGGCCGAGCGUCCACAUCUCGUAAAUCCGUGGAAAAGGCUUAACUGCCAACGAGAAUUACGCACUAGCCGCCUAAUCGCGGCUACGUCCGCCCGGGUCCUUCCUGUGGAGCCGGUAACGGGCGUCACCAAAGCAGGAUACCCUACCGAUAGUGUCUCGGGUCGGCAGGGGAAACCUAGGGACUAACCAACUGCGGACCCUGCCCUUGGGGGCCAAGGAAGGCGAAAAGGCAAAACAGGGGAUAUGCCUGUAGAGAUUGACGUCAUGGUGCUUUCGGACCGGGGUGCAACUCCCCGCGCCUCCACCA
rnacentral:tmRNA from 1 species